UAGUGCAAUGGUAUAAGCAAGCUUAACUGCGAGACAGACAAGUCGAGCAGGUACGAAAGUAGGUCAUAGUGAUCCGGUGGUUCUGAAUGGAAGGGCCAUCGCUCAACGGAUAAAAGGUACUCCGGGGAUAACAGGCUGAUACCGCCCAAGAGUUCAUAUCGACGGCGGUGUUUGGCACCUCGAUGUCGGCUCAUCACAUCCUGGGGCUGAAGUAGGUCCCAAGGGUAUGGCUGUUCGCCAUUUAAAGUGGUACGCGAGCUGGGUUUAGAACGUCGUGAGACAGUUCGGUCCCUAUCUGCCGUGGGCGUUGGAGAAUUGGUUGGGGCUGCUCCUAGUACGAGAGGACCGGAGUGGACGCACCACUGGUGUUCCGGUUGUGUCGCCAGACGCAUUGCCGGGUAGCUAAGUGCGGAAGAGAUAAGUGCUGAAAGCAUCUAAGCACGAAACUUGCCAAGAGAUGAGUUCUCCCAAUCUUAGAGAUUGUAAGGGUUGUUUAAGACUAAGACGUAGAUAGGUGCGGUGUGUAAGUGAUGUGAGUCAUUGAGCUAACGCAUACUAAUUGCCCGAGAGGCUUAACUAUACAACGCUCAAG
rnacentral:rRNA from 1 species